rnacentral:rRNA from 1 species
GAUGAACGCUGGCGGCGUGCCUAAUACAUGCAAGUCGAGCGAACAGACGAGGAGCUUGCUCCUCUGACGUUAGCGGCGUACGGGUGAGUAACACGUGGAUAACCUACCUAUAAGACUGGGAUAACUUCGGGAAACCGGAGCUAAUACCGGAUAAUAUAUUGAACCUCAUGGUUCAAUAGUGAAAGACGGUUUUGCUGUCACUUAUCGAUGUAUCCGCGCCGCAUUAUCUAGUUGGUAAGGUAACGGCUUACCAAGGCAACGAUGCGUAGCCGACCUGAGAGGGUGAUCGGCCACACUGGAACUGAGACACGGUCCAGACUCCUACGGGAGGCAGCAGUAGGGAAUCUUCCGCAAUGGGCGAAAGCCUGACGGAGCAAAGCCGCGUGAGUGAUGAAGGUCUUCGGAUCGUAAAACUCUGUUAUUAGGGAAGAACAAAUGUGUAAGUAACUAUGCACGUCUUGACGGUACCUAAUCAGAAAGCCACGGCUAACUACGUG